rnacentral:pre_miRNA from 1 species
AGCACCCAGAGACCUUGUUAAAAUGUGGAUUCUGAUUCAGGAGGUCUGGGAUGGAGCCUGAGAUUCUGCAUGUUUAACAAGCUCCCAGGUGAUGCUUG